rnacentral:rRNA from 1 species
UGGGGAAAUUUGCACAAUGGGGGAAACCCUGAUGCAGCGACGCCGCGUGAUUUAGAAGGCCUUCGGGUUGUAAAAAUCUUUUCUAUGGGAAGAAAAUGACAGUACCAUAGGAAUAAGGACCGGCUAAUUACGUGCCAGCAGCCGCGGUAAUACGUAAGGUCCGAGCGUUGUCCGGAAUCAUUGGGCGUAAAGGGUACGUAGGCGGGUAAGCAAGUUAGAAGUGAAAUCCUAUAGCUCAACUAUAGUAAGCUUUUAAAACUGCUCAUCUUGAGGUAUGGAAGGGAAAGUGGAAUUCCUAGUGUAGCGGUGAAAUGCGCAGAUAUUAGGAGGAAUACCGGUGGCGAAGGCGACUUUCUGGCCAUAACCUGACGCUGAGGUACGAAAGCGUGGGUAGCAAACAGG